AAAAAACCACCUAGGCUUUAUGCAUCAUUUUCUGAUAUAGUUGGAGAAUUAUUACUGGGUAAAGAUGAAGGGCUGGACUUCCUUACUCAAAAACUCGUGCAAUUUAUCUUAAUUCUUGUGCAUCUGAUAAGAACUUCCUCUAGAGCCAGGAAACUUUGCAAGUAUGAAAUGAUCUGAAAGGAGGGAGUAAAGAAGGAAGUAACUGACCUACAUGAAAAAGAGGAACAAGUUCUAAACAAAAGUGGGUUUAAAACAACCAAAAGAACAAAAGAAAGCUCGGCAUACCAACCUCAAGGUGUUAUGCUUUUCUCUAGGAGUAUUCAGAGGAAAAGACCUGAUCCCUGUCCACCAUUUAACCAGCAGGCACGUGGAUGGCAGAUCGUUCAACCUUCCCUUCCUUGAGUUUUCUACUCUGCUAUUAUUUUCCACUCAUUUGUGCUUCACUUUGUGAUUCAUUGAUAAAAAAGGAAGUGGAGUUGAAUGAAAUCCCCCCGACACCGUGCAAUUAUACAACAACAAUUGUAUAAUCAUCAGCUACAACAGAGCCAGCUUCCAAAAUCAAGUUUACUCAUCUCUCCUCUAUGUACACCAGGUCUUUGCCAUGAUGUUCUUUCAUAUCUGAAUCAGAAAUGCCUAAAAGAGCUUCCGAAAUUACUUUCAAACCAUAUCCUACAAAGAAUUACAGUGGACUGUACCUGUGAAUUCA